rnacentral:lncRNA from 1 species
GCUUGUGGAAGUCUCUAGACUGAUGGUCAACACUUGGUUUUUUGGCUGCUGCGCUUUGCCGUUGAUGUAGUAUCCAACAGAUGAUAAAUUAGAAGCUGACGUGGAUAGUCUUUGAAGCGCCGUUUCCUACCGCGAUUGUAAUAUAGAAAUUCUUAUAAUAUUCAUGGAUAGGGUGGAGUCAUGACUCCUUAUGCUUAUAUUCCUCGAAUUCUUCCUUUUCUAUCAGCAUAAAAAAUAGAUCAACAAAAUUUUCAUGUGGUACAUUUUGAGAACAUUGAAUUUGAAAAGUUUAAUAAUGAAAAUGAAAUAGUUGUAACUCUAAAGAUAAUACAUAACCAAAACGAUUGUAAUGUAAGAACGUUAAAGCAUUAGAACUAUAUAAUUGCUUAUGUCAUGGCUAGGUAUGUACCAUAUAUAUAUACAAAGAAACAAAUAUAUAAUGAGAUAAAUAUAAAUCUACAUAUAAGACCGAGGUACAUACUUGUUUUGAAGCCUUUUUUGUCGGCGUUAGCAGCAUAUUUAGCAUAACACUAACUUGCUGUUUGGUUGUGUUUUGGGAGCGGCAACAUAAAUGGAAUCAAAUGACGGCGCUAGUUGUUACGAGAUGCAAUGAAAAGCGUCAAUUGUUUGGUUUGCUCAAGCGGAGAGGAGGGACAUGGUCGUAAUGGGAUAGUGCCGCAAGACUGGCGGGAUCGCCAAUCUGAAGCGUCGUAACUGAUGCUGCAUGAAUCGAUUACAUCACGGCCAAAACAAAUAGCAACAAACGUAACCGGAUCACGCUGUAAAUCAUUAACAGACCAAAACAAUCCAACCAAACACCUCCUAAGAUUUCCAUGGUAAAGAGAGGUGAGGGAUAGUAUUAGUUCUCAGGUGAAUGCAAUCAACUAAAUAUCACCAGCAUAUCAACAUUAAUAAUAAAACAAUAAAAUUUUCAUGUGACAAAGAGGCUGGUAAACUUUAUUUUUUUCAUUUGAUUCCAGCAAAGAAAAUAGUAAUAUAAGCAGCAAACCUUUUCUCAAAAAAGGAGUGGGAAAUUCACCUUUUUAUAUAAAUUAGUUAUUCUUCAAAGCGUCACAUGGUCCUAAAGUUGUUCUUCAACUACAACACAAGCAUUCUGAAAAGGUUAGUACCAAUCAGAUUUAAUGUUGUAAAAAUGUGUGAUAGAAAAAGUAAAGAACGUUAAGUACAAUACAUUGGUAAGAAAUCAAAGGCACAUAUUAACCAACUAUUAGAAACAUAUACAUGUGUGUGCAUGCAUGAUCGUUAAAAUUUUCUGCUAACAUAAACCUAUUUAUUUUAGGUUGGAGCUUAAUUAGGUCGACCAAGGCAAUGUUCUUCAAGUCUAGUAUCACCUUACAUGGUAGGGGCACCAAAAAUAGCUUCCUAUAUUGUUGUGUAUAUGCUUUCGAAGACUUCUUUUGAUAACUAAAUCCUAACCUUCCUGUGAACAAUCAACACCUAAAUUGCCUCUUUUUUAUGCGUCACAAGACCACAUUCAGCUAGGGCAUAACAUCGAACAGCUACAACGCAUGAACCAAUUUACUGCUACCACUUGGCAGCAUCCUAUUCUAGACGUUGCCCUGGUCAGAGAAAGGGGGAGGACCAUCAGCGCAAAGCACGAGCAGUUAACACAGUCGCGUACACUAUACCAGCUUACGUCUCUGCAUCUCAUCAUGAACACUAGACUAGAGAAUUGCAGCGAUUCACCGGAUGAGCCAUCCUCGGCGUCAAGGAGUGAAGAACGAAGAGAAUACAAAAAAACACAGAACCCUAGCAUCAAGGGCUAUGCAAAAUCCAACGCCGAAUGGUGGGGAGGGGGCCGAAAUGCAGCGGUAGACAUCGCCGAAGGGAAGGAGAACAUACCUCUUUUUGUG